ensembl:lncRNA
GAACUGUAGUGUGUAUUUCCAGAUUUUGAAUCCCAGAUUUUUCAUUCCCAGAAUGUGGUCUCAGACAUCUGAAGCUUGUUGUAUACAGUGAGAAGGUAGCCUGGAGUCCGGAAGCGGAAGAGGCAUUCCAGCAGGUGAAGUCAGCCCUCACCACGGAGCCAGUCCUGCGAGCCCCCGAUUUUACCUGCCCCUUCCUGGUGCAAACCGACGCCUCAGACACCGGGUUAGGAGCCGUUCUCUCCCAGGUCCAGGACGGCGAGGAACACCCGGUGAUCUAUAUUAGCCGGAAGCUGACCCCGACCGAACAACGGUAUGCCGCCGUGGAGAAGGAAGCGUUGGCUGUCAAGUGGGCAGUCCUGGAGCUUCGCUAUUACCUCCUCGGUCGCCGGUUCACCCUGCUGACCGAUCAUGCGCCACUGCAGUGGAUGGCCCGCGCAAAGGACACCAAUCCCAGGGUGACCCGGUGGUUCCUUGCGCUCCAGGACUUCCACUUCACCGUACAACACCGGGCGGGGACAGCCAACGCCAACGCGGACGGCCUCUCCAGGAUAGGGGCAGCUUUCGCAGGUCUGUCAGGCUCCACUCCCCACCCUCCCCAUAUCUCCCCAUUGUUCCGCAGGCGCAGGUCGACGCUUAGGGGGGGGGAGUGUGACGUGUGUCCCGAGCGCUCGUCAGCGUCGCCCUGGCAACACAGUGAAAUCACCGGCACUAGCUCGUCACGGGCUGAGCGGCCGCACCUGCAGCUCAUGAAGAGGCGUCUACUUCAGCCGGGGAGGAAAGCAGUAUGGUGAGCAAUGUCUCCCGACACAGAGCCUAACUCUUUCCUCCUCUAUCACAGAGAGCAGCGUGUGACCGUCAGCCCCAACCAGGAGAGCACCGCACGGGAUCCACCACUCAAGACACAGAGGGCACCAGGGAGUUGGAGCACUACGGAGAGCACUGUCUUCACUCAGAGCACCAAGUUGUGAAUAAAUCCACCCUUCGGGGAUUUUCUCUGUCUAUCGGUUGUCGUGUUGUUCCUCACCUCGCCACAAUAUAUAUAUAUAUAUAUAUAUACCUCUCUGCUCGAGUCUGCCCAACCGAGACAGGCAUCAGCACCUGCAUGUGCUCACUUUGAAAGAUGUUGCAGACAGA